GCCCCCAGAUCUCUCUCGAUUUCGGAUCAGGCUUCGUGGUCGGGGUAGGCAUCGACAGGAAUAGGUGCCUGCGCUUCUUCUAUCGAGCUCGAUUUUGGCGGAAAUCAUACAAUUUCCUAGGGAUUUUAGUAACUUUGACAAUGAGAUCCCUGUGACGUGUUAGACUCGGUGCACGGCAGUUAUAAGAUUUGUAAUAUGUUUGCUUCUUAUUUGAAAUUUGGGCAAUUCUGGAACUAGAUAGGAGUUAGGACGCAAUAUUUUAUUGGAAUUGAGUUGCUGUGAACUAGUAUCAGUUGCAAAAUGUGUUACAUAUUGAACGGAGGUCGGGAUCAUGACUCCUGGAGGCAUUAAAACUAGGAGUAUGCAUACUUGUUUCAAUGAUUAGGUGAAGUUGUCAUGAUACAUUACAUUCAUUCUGAGUAUGGAAGUUGCUUCUUCAAAGGCAACCCCUAGCACUAAAUUUUCUAUGUGUCAUUUCAAAUUUCAGCUAUAUUGCCCUGAGUGGAAUGCAACUUAAGCAAUAGUAUAGGAAUCUUCAAACUACUGUUGGUUGGCUCACACAUGUCAUUUUUAAUUUUCAGUAGACAUGCCUUUGAUAAGAUGCAUUGUUCAGUUCUAAUUAAGUAAUUAUGGACCUUUUGAAUUACGGGCCAAGCCCUGUGGUGUGCUAAAUGUUGUUAUCUACCUAAGCACCUGGACUUUUGUAUGCAGAGGGUUAUCAGCUAUUAAACAACAUAUGACAAUCCUGUUCUAACUGGCCAACUAACUUGGCCAUCUGAUGUUUGUAUGUUUGAGUUGUUCGUGUUCGUUGUAGUGCAUGGGGCGGGAUUUAUUGUGAUGGCUCUUUCGAGCCUGUCCUUUUUGUUUAAACUCGAAAAAAAGUAACUAACUAAAUGGUGUUUGUGUAUCAUUUAGGUCUUCUUGGAAGUGUAGCGCCAUGUGUUCUGUAUGGUAGCCAUAGUAUAGGAAUCUUAAAACUACUGUUGGCUGGCUCACACAUGACAUUUUUAAUUUUUAGUAGACAUGCCUUUGAUAAGAUGCAUUGUUCAGUUCUAAUUAAGUAAUUAUGGACCUUUUGAAUUACGGGCCAAGCCCCGUGGUGUGCUAAAUGUUGUUAUCUACCUAAGCACCUGGACUUUUGUAUGCAGAGGGUUAUCAGCUAUUAAACAGCAUAUGACAAUCCUGUUCUGGCCAUCUGAUGUUUGUAUGUUUGAGUUGUUCGUGUUCGUUGUAGUGCAUGAGGCGGGAUUUAUUGUGAUGGCUCUUUCGAGCCUGCCCUUUUUGUUUGAACUCGAAAAAAAAGUAACUAACUAAAUGGUGUUUGUGUAUCAUUUAGGUCUUCUUGGAAGUGUAGCGCCAUGUGUUCUGUAUGGUAGCCAUAGUAUAGGAAUCUUAAAACUACUGUUGGCUGGCUCACACAUGACAUUUUUAAUUUUUAGUAGACAUGCCUUUGAUAAGAUGCAUUGUUCAGUUCUAAUUAAGUAAUUAUGGACCUUUUGAAUUACGGGCCAAGCCCCGUGGUGUGCUAAAUGUUGUUAUCUACCUAAGCAUCUGGACUUUUGUAUGCAGAGGGUUAUCAGCUAUUAAACAACAUAUGACAAUCCUGUUCUAACUGGCCAACUAAUUUGGCCAUCUGAUGUUUGUAUGUUUGAGUUGUUCGUGUUCGUUGUAGUGCAUGGGGCGGGAUUUAUUGUGAUGGCUCUUUUGAGCCUGCCCUUUUUAUUUAAAC
rnacentral:lncRNA from 1 species